GUGUUCCGAAGAGAGUGUGCACUGGAGAUAAUGGAGAGUUCAAAUGCUGUAUGAAUUACUAUCAGCAUGUCAAAAAUAAAUGCACAGUUUGUUUCCCGG